rnacentral:rRNA from 1 species
CCUACGGGAGGCAGCAGUGAGGAAUAUUGGUCAAUGGUCGGGAGACUGAACCAGCCAAGCCGCGUGAGGGAUGAAGGUACAGAGUAUCGUAAACCUCUUUUGUCAGGGAACAAAGGCGGGGACGCGUCCCCGGAUGAGUGUACCUGAAGAAAAAGCAUCGGCUAACUCCGUGCCAGCAGCCGCGGUAAUAGGGAGGAUGCGAGCGUUAUCCGGAUGUAUUGGGUUUAAAGGGUGCGCAGGCGGUCUGUUAAGUCAGCGGUCAAAGCCCGGGGCUCAACCCCGGCCCGCCGUUGAAACUGGCAGUCGCGAGUUGGAGAGAAGUAUGCGGAAUGCGCGGUGUAGCGGUGGAAGGCAUAGAUAUCGCGCAGAACUCCGAUUGCGAAGGCAGCAUGCCGGCUCCACACUGACGCUGAGGCACGAAAGCGUGGGUAUCGAACAGGAUUAGAUACCCCAGUAGUC